rnacentral:rRNA from 1 species
CAGCCGCCGCGGUAAUACGGAGGGGGCUAGCGUUGUUCGGAAUUACUGGGCGUAAAGGGCGCGUAGGCGGCGAUCAAAGUCAGGCGUGAAAUUCCUGGGCCCAACCUGGGGGCUGCGCUUGAUACUUGGUUGCUUGAGUGGGGAAGAGGGUCGUGGAAUCCCCAGUAUAGAGGUGAAAUUCGUAGAUAUUGGGAAGAACACCGGUGGCGAAGGCGGCGACCUGGUCCUUGACUGACGCUGAGGCGCGAAAGCGUGGGGAGCAAACAGGAUUAGAUACCCCAGUAGUCCCUGUCUCUUAUAC